rnacentral:snRNA from 1 species
AGGUCAAUGAUGUGGCAGUAUUGUAGCCAAUGAGGUUUAUCCAAGGCAAGAUUAUUGCUAAUUGGAAACUUUUCCCUAUUUAUAUUUCUUAAUUAUGUCUACUUCACGAGUGACCCAAGUACAAAAGCAAUGUUGAGAAAUACUUUCAUUCCUACUUCUUUCCAAAAGAAAAGU